rnacentral:rRNA from 1 species
GAUGAACGCUGACAGAAUGCUUAACACAUGCAAGUCAACUUGAACUUCGGUUUGGGUGGCGGACGGGUGAGUAACGCGUAAAGAACUUGCCUCACAGCUAGGGACAACAUUUGGAAACGAAUGCUAAUACCUGAUAUUAUGAUUUUAGGGCAUCCUAGAAUUAUGAAAGCUAUAUGCGCUGUGAGAGAGCUUUGCGUCCCAUUAGCUAGUUGGAGAGGUAACGGCUCACCAAGGCGAUGAUGGGUAGCCGGCCUGAGAGGGUGAACGGCCACAAGGGGACUGAGACACGGCCCUUACUCCUACGGGAGGAAGGAGUGGGGAAUAUUGGACAAUGGACCAAGAGUCUGAUCCAGCAAUUCUGUGUGCACGAUGAAGUUUUUCGGAAUGUAAAGUGCUUUCAGUUGGGAAGAAAAAAAUGACGGUACCAACAGAAGAAGUGACGGCUAAAUACGUG